rnacentral:rRNA from 1 species
UACGAAGGCUUCAAGCGUUAUCCGGACUUAUUGGGCGUAAAGAGUGCGUAGGAGGAUUUUUAAGUUUGGUGUUAAAUCUCGGGGCUCAACUUCGAGGCCGCAUUAAAUACUGAAAAUCUAGAGUGUGUGAGAGGUUACUAGAACGCAUGGUGUAGGGGUGACAUCCGUUGAUAUCAUGCGGAAUACCAAAGGCGAAGGCAUGUAACUGGCACAUUACUGACUCUGAUGCACGAAAGCGUGGGGAGCAAAAAGG